rnacentral:rRNA from 1 species
CAAUAGCGUAUAUUUAAGUUGUUGCAGUUAAAAAGCUCGUAGUCGGAUUUUGGCUGAGAACGAUCGGUCCGCCGUUAGGUGUGCACUGAUUGGUCUCAGCUUCCUGGUGAGGAGGUGUGCUUCACGGCCACUUAGUCACCGUGGUUACUUUGAAAAAAUUAGAGUGUUCAAAGCGGGCUUACGCUUGAAUAUAUUAGCAUGGAAUAACACCAUAGGACUCCUGUCCUAUUUCGUUGGUCUCGGGACGGGAGUAAUGAUUAAGAGGAACAGUUGGGGGCAUUCGUAUUUCAUUGUCAGAGGUGAAAUUCUUGGAUUUAUGAAAGACGAACUUCUGCGAAAGCAUUUGCCGAGGAUGUUUUCAUUGA